GCCUACUCCCCAUUCGGGAGGUUUUCCACAGAGGUAAUUCAUUUACCUCCUGAACGGGGACAUUCCCCGUGCCCAUUGGAAUGUUCGCACCAAUCAAUUAGAACGUUCACAACUUGCAACAUAAGUGUGAAACCGCAAGGGAACUAAUUGAGUACUUGCCUGGGUGGCCGCCGUUUGUAUAGACUAGUGCCAACCAGGGGGAGCAUUCGUACCCUGAAAGGAGCUGCUUCCCUUGCCUGGUUUCACACGGGGACCCUCCGAACGGAGGCUCUUCGAGGCAGCUACCAUGACGGGGGUCCCUGGGAAUUGAUGUUGACAUCCUUUGGGUACAAUGGCGGGCUAUCUGUACCUGGGGAACAAAGAGACGGGGUUUUCCGCGCAGUGAUUCCCAGGUAUAGAGGCUCAUGGGAGGAAGACACUGGGUGAUGGGCUUUCCAAUGCCUGGGAGGCAAAGGGACAAGACCCCCUCCACCCCCCCCCCCACCUUCUCCCAUGCUUUGGCUCCAGGCAUGAAGGAUCCUGGGAAGAAGACCAUCUGUUCCUGGAAGUGGGAAACCCUGUGUUUGAGAGGCGGGAACAAAGGGAGGGGACAGUGUCCUUGUGUGGUGUCCACCCCUUACAUGGGGAAAAGUAUAAAGCCGAGUGUGGCCAGUAAAGUUGUUGUUGUAC